AAUAAUAUUGAUUAAUACCACCACUAGAAGCCAGGAAGCAUCGAACUUGAAGCGGGAAGAGGUCAUAGAUUGGUUUAAGCCAUCGUCCAAUAUGAUGGGAGCAUCAACUACAUACUUUUAAAUUCUUUUUUUUUAUUUUGGAUAUAUUAAACAUUUAUUAUGCGACGCAGCCUAUAACUCGAAAUAUCAUGUCAAUUAAAACUGCAAAGUCAUGAACUAGCCUGAUGGCAAUACGAACUAUAUAUAACUAACACGACAAUGCCUACUUAUCAACAUCGGUGUAAAAGAAAAGCACUUGUCAUAAAUCUAUGGCUGAUGGAAAGUAAUUACCUCGUACUCAAAGCUUAUUGUAAGUCAACAAUCAUUUCCUGCAUGCUUUACCUGCAAAUUAAAGUGGAGCUUGACCCUAUUAUCAUGAUGUAAUGGACUCAAGUUAUUUAAAUGAUGUGGAUCUUACUCUUACAUGAGAAGGCAUCAAGGCUGUCCCUGAUUGUAGAUUGACCAAGCUUAGGUUGGUAAAUGAACACAUUUACACUGAAAACAGAAACAUGUAAUACCAUACAUUAGUUUCAAGUAAUUCCCAUGUUACCAUGAGCACGACGAGUUCAAGAAAGAAGAAAAAAUCUCAUACCAGUCUAACGGGAUUUAUUCUAAUAGCUACAUGACGAAUGUCUUGUAAAGUGAGUUCAUAUGCAGUCGAACGGGACGUAUAAUAAUAGCUGCCAAAUCAAAACAUCAAUAGAUAACUACAAUUAGUUUAUAUACAGCCAAGCAAACAAGUGACAUAAAAAGUCCAAAGCAUUAUUUUUCAGUGAGAAAAUAAGUGAUCAAAAAAUUCAAUAUAAUUUCACUUUUACAACUUUAAUAUUUUAAUAGACAAAUCACAAAUUGUAUCUAUUGCAUUUUUUUGUGCAAAACUAUUUUGUUUAAAAAAUAUUUUGUAACUUAAAGAAAUACUAAAGAAAUACAUCAUAAAAACUAUUUUGUAACUUAAAGAAAUACUAAAUAAACAAAUUUGUUUUAAACAUGUUUGGAUCUUUUACAUCUUCUCUGAUUUAUUAGCAGACAUACUCCGUUGCAAUCCUUCGGUGUAUAGAUUAUUAUGAGUUAAUAAAUUAAAUAUUCCACUUUGUCUGUGAUAGUAAAAUAAGAUUGUAUUAAAUCUACAGAUAUGAUUACCCUAAUAAAGAUAUAAUGCUUGUACAUACAGACGACCACGGGGAGGAGGAAAAGGAAGUAUAUUUUACUUCCUUUCCUGUUGUAUUCACAGACAAAGUGGGCUGAAAUAAUGUAAUCGGGAAUAUAUUAUCUGAUACUGGUAGAAAGAUCAGAUCCGUCCACAAUUUAUAACAUGUUAUAGAUGGAAAUGAAUAACUGCUUUAAUUAAACGACGUUGAUCAUUUGGAAGGCAAUAUCAACUCUCCAAUUUAUUAGAUGUCACGGUAACAAAAUUAUAAACUCCAUCUGCCUACUAUUUAACCACCCACCCAAACUCACAUAUAUCCCAUCAGCAAUUUCCGAUCGAGAAGUAAAGAACUAAAUUUCUAUAUCCAAUGGAGGCGAUCAUUGGGAACGCUGCACAUGCACCUGAAGAGGGUGCGCCUGCGGCCCAGGAGGAUGUUCCCGGUCCCCAGGAGGAUGUGCCUGCGCCCAUGGAUGUUUUGCACCCACCAAUGCAUGCCGUUGAAGAUGCACUACAAACAUAUUUCACUUUAUCAUGGGCAUUCGAGACCAAGAUACAUUAAAGUAAGUUGUCUUAUUAUACAUUAUUUUACUAUAUACAGAUAAUGCUGGAAAACUGUUUUACACACCAAGGUAAGAUAGCUAGAUGGGCAAUCUUAAAACAUUCAUAUGUACAUGUAUAAGUUUUUUAGUUCAAUCCGACGCUACAUGAAGAGUGACAUGCACAACCCAUGAAUUAAGGUUCUAGAUUUGAUACGUGUAUGUACAUCUAGGUGAGGACAAUCUGACCUCGUGCAAUGUCAUGCGAUCUAAACAUGAAUUCGGUUUAUAGGUUAGUAUAGACAAAGUUAAACUAGAAGACGACCAUUGAUGUCUUUUGUUGGGCAUUUUUUUCCAGCUUAAUAUGGAUAAGAAGCUCCCGGCCGUACCAGAUCGACAUCAGCCUCCGAAUGAUCCAGGACACCCUUUUUUUCAUACAAAACUUCAUCCCGAAUGCUUCAACCUUGUUGUACGUAAGCUUGCCAGCGCUGAAUUAGAGAGGACCGCAGGCACCAACUGGGUUGGGAGCAAACAUUAUUUCGACUUGCAGUUUCAUGCUCAGUCACAGGCCCUGAGGUACUCCUGGAUGACUCAAGGAGAGCGCAUCACGACGCUGAUUAACUAUGUUGUGGUCCAGCCUCUUCCUAAAUAUGAUGUGUUCAACUCUAUAAUUAUAAGAGAAGCUCAUUCCUAAAGUUAGUUUUACUUACUAUAAUAGCAAUUGAUAUGUGUCGAUCUGCCACAGUAUCUACUAUCCUUGAAACUUUCGGAUUCGUCAUACGGGUUACUUGUAGUCAACCGGCUGAGGAGGAGGGUUGUCGUGAUGGAUCCGUCCUUCAACACGUUUGAUCCUGAAGAUAGCACUCAUAACAUAUUGAUGAGGAAGGAAAUCACACUGCUGAAGGAAGAAUUCAACACUGUGUUGCAGACUAGGAUCGCUGGUUGGAAUAACCAAAUCAUGGAUUGGGAACAAGAUACCAUGUCCUGUGCUGCUCGUCGGUAAAAUACUAAAUUUAUCACAUAUAUAAGAUGCAGACCUUUAUAAUGUUUAAUAUUUAUUUAUUUUGUCGCAGCAAACACUCCGGCUUCUUUGUGCUACAGGAGAUGGCCUACCAGAUUGGUCGUUUGCGUAGCAUGGGCUGGAUGAACACUACCGUAAGUACAAAAAAGAUGAGUUGAUGUGUGCUAAUUAAAAUCCAACCAGUUUAUUAAAUGUUUUGAGUUUUUGCACCUUUCCUAGGAUCCUAUACAGCUCAAACAUCAAGCUACGGUCCACAUGUUAAUGUUCAAAGGCAAUGAAGCUGCUGCAAACAUCCCGCCAGAGAUUAAGCGGCCCUGAGGGUUUUAAGCAACUGAAGAAGGACUGAUGCAUGCAGAUAUGCCAAGAAAGUUUGCCUACACUACAGAUUUUUUAUGGAACGUUUUGAUAAUUAUUUAUUUUUGAUAUGAAUAAUUAGAUAAUAAGUUAGUGGGGUCCUCUAUAGACGUAUGUUCAAAAAGAUUAGGAUGUUUUGGUAUUAUCAACCUAUUCGAACUUUAUGCUGUUUUGGUAUUAUUGAAGUUUGGUUUUAUUACCAUAUUGUUGGAUUAUUAAUCUAUUUUGUUGCAACAUCAUGAACGAAUCAUUUGGUUUUCUGCCAUGACUGAGCAUUUAGCUCCAUUUCGGAAGCUGUACUGGUGUAAUAGGGCUUGACGCUAGACUAGAUGAGCAGCCAGAGUUUAAUGUUCUACGGCAAAUGCAUGUGUGUGCAGAGGAUAUUUACAUCUUUCGGCGGCAGCAUUGUGCCUCCAACUGUUUCUGCACCUACUAUCAUUUUCCGCCGUUAGAAUCACUCCCCAUGCCGAUCUUGAUAGUAGAUCCCCGUGCCCCUUUCCCGAUCGCUGCUCUUUCCCUAAAAAACCCCACUGGUUUCCAGCGCCUCCAACCACAACUAACUAUCGCCCACACUGCUCAUGUCGCCUAAGGCAAACCGAAGAAGGAUGUGGAGGCGGAAGUAUGUUAGAUAUGGAUCAUUAUUGGCUUGGACGUCGACGAACGGUCGUUGACAGGGCGGGGGUGGCGCAUCAAGAGUUAUCCUUCUUCCUCCAUUAUCAUAUUCCACUAGAUUGCCGGUACCAUGCCCCUCUCACUCGCCCUAUGUUCUGACCUCUGCCACGCUAGGAAUUUGAGAUGUGCAGCAAUACUAUAAGGAAGAAGAGAACGAGCAAGAAGCCGAGGUAUUGGGUACAGCAUCCGGGACAAGAGCAGGUCUUAGCCACGCAUUCAUGGCGCAGGUGAAGAUAAAUUCAGCCAUUUCCUCAGACAGGCUUUGCUCUGUCGGCGGCGCGGUCAGAGAGCAUAUUGAAGGAGCGCGCCGCCGGCCUGCUGUACGCAGUAGGUGCCUUGGUGUGCAGUGUCACGACUGCGCCCAAGCAUGGAGAUGGGUUUCCUGUAAGGUCGUGAAGCAUGCGUGUUGUCGUGCUGCCGGCUGUGCUCUGCUCUGCUCACGGAGGAUGCAGAGGGGUUGAUGGCUUUGGCGCUGGAAAGAGGAAGCUGGUUGUGCUCGAUUCGGUGGUUCAGAUAACAUACUAUGUAGCCUGUACUAUUCCUCUAUGUCUUCCUCCCGCCUAAUUGCUCUGUGUAUGACAGUUAUUCCCUGACUAUUUGUGUGCACAGAUCAAAGUAACAAUAGCAAGGAAAAUUUGAAAUAUGUGGGACCAUGAUUAAACUCGAUCUGUUUAACUCCCUCUCAAGUCACAGUUUGGUUUGGACUUUAUUGGGGGAGCUAAUGUCGAUUUGUAGUGAUUAAUCAUCCAUUUGAUUGAAAGAACCGGUGGUCUUGGGGAUCUCUAGGUGGCAGAAGAUAGACAUUUGGUGUCUUUUUGUUGCAAAUAUUUAGAGGUUGCUAGGUAGGCCAAGAUUUAUCAAUUUACUGGAAUAUUCAUAUGUUGUAUGUGGUCCUAGGCUGACACGAAAUGCUGAAUCGUAGCAGUGAAUGCAAAUUUUAUUACAUGUAUAGUACGUAGCAGAUUUAUAACUUAAUAUGCUUGUAUAAAUCCUACAACUCCCACAUUAACACACGAGCAACCCUAAAUAGUAAAGUACAUCCACGAUCAAAAGAUCCAUAAAGUCAUGAAUUAUAAUUGGCAAAAAUAACUAUAGGUAAAUACAACGUCAAUUAGUACUGAUCAACAUCAACGCUAAAAUAAAAUGUUGAUUCCAUAAAUCCACAAUUAGUAUUGGUUACCUUUGGCAUCGGGAAACCAUGGAUAAUCUGGAAUUGACAGCAUUCAUCUAACAUGUGUGGUCUCUCAGAUAUUACAACUGCAACAAGCAUAAUGAGACUGUACAUUACUACCAAAGUAUGGAAUGAAGUAUUAGUACAAACUGUUAAAUCAUACAAAAUUAGUAAUUGUGGAAGAUGAGUAGUGUGCAUGCUGUGAUUUUUGUUUGUUGUAGCUAAAUUUGGCAUGCAAGCAAUGAACAUCUUUUUAUUUAAUUAAUACAGUAAUUUAAUUAAUUAGAAAGUUAUGAUUAUUUUGUUAUUUGCUUAUUUAUUAACGGGUGUGCAUUUUAUGGAAAAAGGAAAGAGAUCUGCACCAUCAACAGUGGUAUAUAUGGUAGAAAACAUUGUUAUAUAUGGUAGAACUAUAUUCAGCUUUGAUCUGCUACCCAGUUAUUCUCCGCAUGUCCUACCUAUAUAUAUGUUAACCUUCUCUGCCAUCCCUCCUCCCCCUCCUUGCUCUUCCUUCGGCCAUCAGAACAGCUGACCUGGACGAAAAUUUCCCAAGGAGUACCUUGUGUAAGCAAGGAGCAUCUUUAAGGCGACUUCCUCUAGGUACGAACAAUUCUGGAUCUUUAUAUUCUCUAAUAGUGUUAUAUUUCUUAUACUAGGAUCAUCUUUGGUUGAGAUAUUCUAUCAAAAGUAUGAUUUAUCUUGCAUUUCCUGUAUGUUCAUCUACAAAAUUUUGCUGGCAAUUAUGAACACGCCAUUUUCUUAAGCACAUUAUAUAGCAAAAUUAGCAUGCAUGGAAUUCUUAACAUGGCAGAGAUCAAAAAAACAAUUAUGAAAAUCUUAAUAUUAUGAUAGUCAUAAUAAUAAGUCCUUUCAUGUAAUAAAAGCCCUGUGCUUUGCACCGGUGUUAAGAAUUUUCGGGUUUUGUUUAAUUCAAUCCUAAAUUUCACAAACAACAAUUAUACACUGCUAGAAAUUGAAAAGAAAUCAUACAUGAAAAUGGUUUAUACUAAUCUUAGUUCUACUAUGGUUACUUUCACAUGAAGAAUUUUAGUCCUCCAUACAAUAUUUCCAGUAAAAUGCAUAGGCAUCAAAAUAUGAAGAGUAAAGCACCCACAUUAAUAAUAGGAGCUGUCAAUAUGGAUAGCUUUCAAUUGGAAGAGGACAUGGCUGAGCAUUAAAUUAAAAGAGAGGACACAACCUAAAAUCUUUUUCCACAUGGAUAAUAAAAAUUAAAAUUGGAGAACGAAAAAUAAGAAGAAGCCCUCACAUAUAAUCGACAUGUUGAAGGUGAGGGAGCUGACAUAUACAUCCUCUGUUCGCCACAUGCAUCCCAGUUCGCUCUGGCCCUCAUCAGUACA
rnacentral:lncRNA from 1 species